CUAGGUGGCCUAUUGUAGAGUGGCUAGUUAGCCUCUUGUAGAGUGGCUAGGUGGCCUAUUGUAGAGUGGCUAGGUGGCCUAUUGUAGAGUGGCUAGUUGACCUAUUGUAGAGUGGCUAGGUAGCCUAUUGUAGAGUGGCUAGGUGGCCUAUUGUAGAGUGGCUAGGUGGCCUAUUGUAGAGUGGCUAGGUAACCUUUUUUAGGGUCUUUGUAAGGCCUACUGUAUGAGAAGCAGAAUCAUGUGUUUUACAAGGAACGGUAUAGGACUUAAAAUAAGUAACAUAGUGAAGGGUAGGGGGAUUCUGCCUUAUCACCCUGACACAGCUCCUCCACAACAUACUUUCCUGUUUUCGUCUUUCUCAUUACUCUCUCUCUUCCUCUAUUUUUUUGUUGUUGAAAAAUGCAGUCAUAGGUCAAAUACAUAUUUUUGUUGCAUCAGCAGACUAAAGUCAGGGCCCAUAUUUAUCAAACGUGUCAGUGCAGGAGUGCUGAUCUAGGAUCUGUUUAUCCUUUUUGAUCAUAAUGAAUAAGGUCAUGUGGACAGGAAUGACUUGAUCCCACGUCAGUAUUCCUGAGAUGGUUGAUCUCCUAGAUCUACAUUUGCUUUGUAUCGAGUCCAGGUUUGGGUUUAUUUAAAAAUAUAUUUGAAAGUAAGCUAUAGACACAUGUUUUCUAACUUUAGGGAAUUUUGGAGUAGCAGAAUAGUAGAUCAUUCAUAACCCCAGGUUUUGUGCUUAAGUGAGGGGGUUUUGAAACCCUUCAGUGCAGCAGUCUGCAACUUGAACUUUCAGUUGGACUUGAGCGUGACUGAACUUUAGUUAGACAUACUGCCUGUUUCCAAUGGGCAGUUUUGAGACACAACACAAUGCCAUAGAUGUCUCAAGUUUUGAGGGAGCAUGCAAUUCACAUGCUGACUGCAGGAAUGUCCACCAGAGCUGUUGCCAGAGAAUUGAAUGUUAAAUUCUCUACCAUAAGAAAGUUGUUUUAGAGAAUUUGUCAGUAUGUCCAACUGGCCUCACAACCACAGACCACGUGUAACCAUGCCAGCCCAGGAUCUCCACAUCCAGCUUCUUCACCUGCAGGAUUGUCUGAGACCAGCCACCUGGACAGCUGAUGAAAGUGUGGGUUUGCACAACCAAAUCAUUUCUGCACAAACUGUCAGAAACUAUCUCAGGGAAGUGUAACAGUAUAACUUUAGACCGUCCCCUCGCCCAUACCCGGGCACGAACCAGGGACCCUCUGCACACAUCAAUAACAGCCACCCUCGAAGCAUUGUUACCCAUCGCUCCACAAAAGCCGCGGCCCUUGCAGAGCAAGGGGAACUACUACUUCAAGGUCUCAGAGCAAGUGACGUCACCGAUUGAAACGCUAUUUAGCGCGCACCGCUAACUAAGCUAGCCGUUUCACAUCCGUUACAGAAGCUCAUCUGCGUCCUCGUCGUCCUCACCACAGUCUUGACCUGACUGCAGUUCGGUGUCAGAACCAGCUUCAGUGGGUAAAUGCUCACCUUUGAUGGCCACCAGAAUGCUGUAAAAGUGUGCUCUUCACGAAUGAAUCCCAGUGUAAACUGUACCGAGCAGAUAGCAGACAGCAUGUACGGCGUCGUUUGGGCGAGCGGUUUGCUGAUGUCAUCGUUGUGAACAGAGUGCCCCAUGGUGGCGGUGGGGUUAUGGUAUGGGCAGGCAUAAGCUACGGACAACGAACACAAUUGCAUUUUAUCGAUGGCAAUUUGAAUGCACACAGAUACCAUGUUUCAGUAUGAUAAUGCACAGCCCCAUGUCGCAAGGAUCUGUAAACAAUUCCUGGAAGUUGAAAAUGUCCCAGUGCUUCCAUGGCCUGCAUACUUACAAGACAUGUCACCCAUUGAGCUUGUUUGGAAUGCCCUGGAUCGACGUGUACGUCAGUGUGUUCCAGUUCCUACCAAUAUUCAGCAACUUCACACAGCCAUUGAAGAGGAGUGGGACAACAUUCCACAGGCCACAAUCAACAGGCCACAAUCAACAGCCUGAUCAACUCCAUGCGAAGGCGAUGUGUUUGUUAGGAAUAUUAUUAAUAAAUGACUGAACAAUAUUCUAAUUUUAAAUGGAACUGUAACUAAGUAAACUUAUACUCUGUUUUAUUAUAUCUGAUUAACAAUAUGAGUUCAUAAGAUGGGAUUGUGUGACACGGACAAGGAGUAAUUAAAUAUAAUGAACACCAUUCCAAACUAGUCUGGAGAGGAGUGGGUUAAGUAAGCAGAUAGGGUCGUUAACCUAUGGUUGAACCGACGAAACUGAGCUCUGGGGUGUUUUAGAUAAGGCAGUGAGUGCAUUCCUAGGUUUUCUGUUAAUUAGAACUGUCAGCUAAGUGGUGAUCGAUAAUGGUGAGGGGUCAAAAGUUAAUUCAGUUAUGUUGUGUGACCUGUGAGUGUGUUAGUGAAUUGGAAUUAACUUUUAAACUCACUUAAUUCUAGGUCGGGAGGAGGGGAUUCAUUCUAGAAGCAAUGAAAUGACGUCAUGUUAUUGUAUAUAAACUGUUGCUCGUGGUAACGUGGCAGCGCGCUCC
ensembl:lncRNA